rnacentral:tRNA from 1 species
UCUCUAGUAACUUAGUGGUAAGAGCAUUUGUGUGUAAAGCCAAUAAUCUUGGGUUCGAUUCCCGGCGAGGGUG